GUGACGUAGAAGCUCUGUCAUUGCCCAAUCCAUAAGUGCGUACGAUGAAUCCGUACCAGCAACUAAAACAUCCUGAAAAGCGAUCAAAACCAAAAAAACAAGAACUACGGUUAUACACUAAAACAUCAAUGAAUAUGAAUAUGAGAUCUUCUUAUCCCUUUACCAAGACGAUAGCCUUUAUGCAUAACCGGUCGAUUUCAAAUCCGAUGCUCUUCUCUCUCUGAAUUCUGAGCAACACAUCCACAAAAUCAGUCCUUUGUCCGUCACCAUCUACAUGAUCUUGAACAACUUUCUCCAAGAAUUCAUCAAGAUCAUUGCCUGUCUUAUUUAGCUGUCCAUCCAAACCAGAGAUCCAAUCAAUCCAUCCAAGCCAUGGUACAUAAGUCCCCACACUAAACUCGCCCAUUAGCAUCAUGAGCCUUUUCAUUAACUCUUUAGAAUCUGUUUCACCGCUAUAUUUCCGUCCCAAAGCAAUUCUAGAUAUCACAUCGUUAGUUAAACUCCCCAAGAGCUCGCUUACAUUCACUUGCAAAGAACUUGAUUUCUGGAUCUUCUCCAUCAUCAGACUGAUCUCUUCUUGUCUCACAUUUCGAAAGGACGUGACCAUUUUGUUGCUGAGGAGCCGGAGGA